rnacentral:rRNA from 1 species
AGUGAACGCUGGCGGUAGGCCUAACACAUGCAAGUCGAACGGCAGCACAGUAAGAGCUUGCUCUUACGGGUGGCGAGUGGCGGACGGGUGAGGAAUACAUCUGAAUCUACUUUUUCGUGGGGGAUAACGUAGGGAAACUUACGCUAAUACCGCAUACGACCUACGGGUGAAAGCAGGGGAUCUUCGGACCUUGCGCGAUUGAAUGAGCCGAUGUCGGAUUAGCUAGUUGGCGGGGUAAAGGCCCACCAAGGCGACGAUCCGUAGCUGGUCUGAGAGGAUGAUCCGCCACACUGGAGCUGAGACACGGUCCAGACUCCUACGGGAGGCAGCAGUGGGGAAUAUUGGACAAUGGGCGCAAGCCUGAUCCAGCCAUACCGCGUGGGUGAAGAAGGCCUUCGGGUUGUAAAGCCCUUUUGUUGGGAAAGAAAAGCAGCAGGUUAAUACCCCGCUGUUCUGACGGUACCCAAAGAAUAAGCACCGGCUAACUUCGU